rnacentral:rRNA from 1 species
CUGGUUGAUCCUGCCGGAGGGCAUUGCUAUUGGGGUUCGACUUAGGAAUGCUAGUCCACCGACGUUCCUUCGGGGACGGAGGGGCGACCAGCUCAGUAACACGUGGUCAACCUAACCUCGUGUGGCGAAUAACCUCGGGAAACUGAGGCUAAUGCGCCAUAGGCGUGGAAGUCUGGAAGGACUCCUCACCGAAAGCUCCGGCGCACGAGGAUGGGACUGCGGCCGAUUAGGUUGUAGGUGGUGUAACGGACCACCUAGCCUUCGAUCGGUACGGGCCGUGGGAGCGGGAGCCCGGAGAUGGGUACUGAGACAAGGACCUGGGCCCUAAGGGGCGCAGCAUUCGCGAAAACUCCGCAAUGCGCGAAAGCGUGACGGGGGAACCCCAAGUGCCAGCACAAUGUGUUGGCUUUUCUGGAGUGCAAAAAGCUCCAGGAAUAAGGGCUGGGUAAGACCGGUGCCAGCCGCCGCGGUAACACCGGCAGCCCGAGUGAUGUCCGCUAUUAUUGGGCUUAAAGCGUUCGUAGCCGGCCUGUUAAGUCCCCGGUCAAAUCCGACGGCUCAACCGUCGGUUAUCUGGGGAUACUGGCAGGCUUGAGGCCGGGAGAGGUCAGAGGUACUCCUGGGGUAGGGGUAAAAUCCGAUAAUCCUGGGGGGACCACCAGUGGCGAAGGCGUCUGACUGGAACGGGCCUGACGGUGAGGGACGAAACCCUGGGGAGCGAUCCGGAUUAGAUACCCGGGUAGUCCAGGGCGUAAACGAUGUGGGCUGGGUGUGGGCUAAUCAGAAGGAUUAGUCUGUGCCGAAGCGAAAGCGAUAAGUCCACCGCCUGGGGAGUACGGUCGCAAGGCUGAAAUCCUGGUAGGUUGAGUGCCUACCGGACGGUAAACUUAAAGGAAUUGGCGGGGGGGCACCACAAGGGGUGGAGCCUGCGGUCUAAUUGGACUCAACGCCGG